AACGUACGCUGGCGGCACGCCUAACACAUGCAAGUCGAACGAAGUAGCAAUACUUAGUGGCAGACGGGUGAGUAACAUGUAGGUAUCUGCCCUUUGGCCUGGAAUAACACGAGGAAACUUGUGCUAAUACCGGAUAAGUCUUUACGGAGAAAGCUUUAUGCACCAUUGGAUGAGCCUGCACUUGAUUAGUUUGUUGGUGGGGUAAUGGCCUACCAAGACUGUGAUCAAUAGCUGAUUUGAGAGGAUGAUCAGCCACAUUGGGACUGAGACACUGCCCAGACUCCUACGGGAGGCUGCAGUCGAGAAUCUUUCGCAAUGGACGAAAGUCUGACGAUGCGACGCCGCGUGAGCGAUGAAGGUUUUCGGAUCGUAAAGCUCUGUCAAGCGGGACGAACGUCCUGAAGGCUAAUAGCCUGAUGGGCUGACUGUACCGCUAGAGGAAGCCACGGCUAACUCCG
rnacentral:rRNA from 1 species